rnacentral:rRNA from 1 species
UACGUAGGGGGCGAGCGUUGUCCGGAUUUAUUGGGCGUAAAGAGCUCGUAGGCGGUUUGGUAAGUCGGGUGUGAAAUCUCCACGCUCAACGUGGAGGGGCCACUCGAUACUGCCAUGACUCGAGUCCGGUAGAGGAGUGUGGAAUUCCCGGUGUAGCGGUGAAAUGCGCAGAUAUCGGGAGGAACACCCGUAGCGAAGGCGGCUCGCUGGGCCACACCUGACGCUGAGACGCGAAAGCUAGGGGAGCGAACAGG